rnacentral:lncRNA from 1 species
AAAAAUAAGAAAAGGGAACGCUACUAAUAAUAAUAAGAAUAAGAAUCUUUGGUGGAGGCAGAUAUUUGAUAAAUAAAUAAAUAUAUAUUGUAAUAUGUACAUAUAUAAAACUAAAUUAAUAGCACUAUUAAGUUUUCAGACUCUGGACGAAGGGAUGUUCAUUGAGGAUGAUAGUAAUUUUUUAAGGUUGAGUAGGUGGUCGGUUGAAUACUAUAAUUUAACCAAUGAAAUUUGUCAAAAAGAUCUAACGAUGAAAAAUUUGAUAGCACCAAGAGUUUUGUGCUAUUGAUAGUAUAGUAGCCUGGCACUAUAUAUAUAUAUAUAUAGAGAGAGAGAGAGAGAGAGAGAGAGAGUAGGGCUACUGUAUUUUUAUGAGUACAGAGUUUUCAUACUUAUAAGUUAUUUUCGAUGAUGGAGCUUCCGAAUCGACGAUUCAUUCCGUUAAAUAUGAUGUAGAAUAUUUGAAACUUAUAAAUAAUAAAUUUUGUAAUUUUUUAAAAUUAUAAUAAAAUCCAUCAAUAGGGCAUAAAAUAAACGAUCAAGAUCGAAUAACAUCAUAAAAAUGGAUGAUCGAAUUUUUUAAUUCAAGAUCGGAGUUAUUAAUCUUUAUUUAGACAAUGAAUAGAAUUUUCUAUCAAAAGUUUAACCGAUUCUGAUUUUUUUAUAAAAUUUUAAAUACUUUAGAUAAUAUUUAACAGUAUGAAUUAUCUAGUCGGACUCUCUCUCUUUAUAUAUUGUUUUUAAAUAAGG